AGUGAACGCUGGCGGUAGGCCUAACACAUGCAAGUCGAACGGCAGCACAGUAAGAGCUUGCUCUUACGGGUGGCGAGUGGCGGACGGGUGAGGAAUACAUCGGAAUCUACUUUUUCGUGGGGGAUAACGUAGGGAAACUUACGCUAAUACCGCAUACGACCUACGGGUGAAAGCAGGGGAUCUUCGGACCUUGCGCGAUUGAAUGAGCCGAUGUCGGAUUAGCUAGUUGGCGGGGUAAAGGCCCACCAAGGCGGCGAUCCGUAGCUGGUCUGAGAGGAUGAUCAGCCACACUGGAACUGAGACACGGUCCAGACUCCUACGGGAGGCAGCAGUGGGGAAUAUUGGACAAUGGGCGCAAGCCUGAUCCAGCCAUACCGCGUGGGUGAAGAAGGCCUUCGGGCUGUAAAGCCCUUUUGUUGGGAAAGAAAAGCAGCAGGUUAAUACCCCGCUGUUCUGACGGUACCCAAAGAAUAAGCACCGGCUAACUUCGUG
rnacentral:rRNA from 1 species